rnacentral:rRNA from 1 species
UACGGAGGGGGCAAGCGUUAUUCGGAAUUAUUGGGCGUAAAGGGCGCGUAGGCGGCUUGACAAGUCAAAGGUGAAAUCCCUCGGCUCAACUGAGGAACUGCCUUUGAAACUGUCUGGCUUGAGGCCGGGAGGGGGUAGCGGAAUUCCCAGUGUAGCGGUGAAAUGCGUAGAUAUUGGGAGGAACACCAAUUGCGAAGGCAGCUCGCUGGGACGUUACUGACGCUGAGACGCGAAAGCGUGGGGAGCAAACAGG